rnacentral:lncRNA from 1 species
CCAUUUCUGCAGAUCGGGAAACUUAGGCAUGAGAGAGGUGAAGUGAUUUCUCAAGUUCCAGCGCCUCUUUCUACCACGUCCAGUAAAUCAAAUCCCUCAUCACUCGGACACCAGCCUGCGUCAUCAUGGCAGGAAGAGGGAGCGGGGGAUGGGGAUGGCGAAAGGUUCACAGGCACGGAGAGCGCGCAGAGACUUUCUUUCAUGGCAAAGAGCACAGAAACUUAGAGAGAUGGCUGCCUGGUGCAGAAGACAAGGCAGCACACUCCCAGGCAGGGCAAGGAGCUGCCCAGGGCCGCAGGUCCCCAUGCAAAAUGAGGAUUCGAGGACAAGAGAAGCUCACCCUAUCUCUUCUCACUGGGCAGGUCGGGGAGAGCUUCCACCUAUCCUGUGCUGCACCCCCAAACAAAGCAUCGCACUGAGUUGAUCAGCCAUUCACUGAAGAAGCAGUCAUCUGUUGCCUAUGGGUACGUAGUGGGAGAUUGUGUGACUUGGGCAGUUACUUGACCUCUUCGAGAAUCAACUGCUUCAUCUGCAAAACAGUAAUAAAAAUAUCUCUGUCGUUUGGCAGUAGAGAUGGUUACACAAGAAGGUGUCUGCAAAGGCCCUGGCGUGGCGCCCAGCACGCAGAGGGUGACAUGGAGCUCACAGCAGGUCAGUGGCCAGAGGCGAGAACAGGGCGGAAGGAGGAGCCUCUUCUCUCCUGGAUGCAUGCACUCGAGG